rnacentral:rRNA from 1 species
GUGUCAGCCGCCGCGGUAAUACGUAGGGGGCGAGCGUUGUUCGGAUUUACUGGGCGUAAAGAGCGCGUAGGUGGUUCGAUGAGUCGGAUGUGAAAUCCCUCGGCUCAACCGAGGACCCGCGUCCGAUACUGUCGAACUUGAGUGCAGGAGAGGAGAGCGGAAUUCCCAGUGUAGCGGUGAAAUGCGUAGAUAUUGGGAGGAACACCGGUGGCGAAGGCGGCUCUCUGGACUGUCACUGACACUGAGGCGCGAAAGCUAGGGGAGCAAACGGGAUUAGAUACCCGCGUAGUCC